CACCUGCAUGGAUAAUGCCCCUCGGGACAGGUUGACUGAUCAGAAUGCAGGGCUCUCAAGUGGGCUACAGACCAGCAAUGGCUCAUUGGCAUCACUCAGCAAUUAUCUGAGAAGAACUGGCACACGAAAGAGAAUCGGGAGCUGCACAGAGACAGUAACUGCAGAGAAGCAGCGCGAUCCACCCAACGCAGGCUGGUUUGUGACUUGUUUGAUCUUAAAAGAGAACAAAAGGACCUGAGUCUCCCAGCAGCUCGGCCAAUCAGCAUCAAGACUCAGAGCUGGGAGGCAGAGGAGUCUCAGCAGAAGUUCAAAAGGACGGCUCUCUUCCAGCCCCACCUCUCUGGGAGGGCCUCCCAUAGUGACAGCCACCCCCCUGACUCCUUGGUGGAAGCAGGGCGGAAUGAAAAAGGAGAAAAGAAGAGAAGAAAAGAAAGGGAAGGAGGGAAAGGGAAAUCUAAAACGACAAACACUGACGGCCCCUGUGAUUCUACGACAGGUACAUCCUUGGCACUCCAACUUUGGCCAGACGCCAGCUUCCGACAUCCCAAAGCCAGGGAGCUAAUGGUAGCAGGUCGUAUGAGAGGAGAUUGACAGAACUUCCACUCGGUACCAGGAUGGUAACGGGACAGUCUCUCCCGUGAAGGACCAGAGACCAGUGUUCAUGGAUGGAUCAGGCAUAGCAGAGGAGAGGCAGGGGUUCCCUACAAGGUGGUGAUUGACCCAGGAGCAGAGGGACCCGUCCUGGACAUGGAGGAGGAGGAGGAGGAUGCCGAGAGCCAGGAGCCUGCAGGGAGCCUGCCCAGGACCCAGGACCCCCAAGACACCCACAGAGCACAUCGGCUGUGUUG